AUUGAACGCUGGCGGCAGGCCUAACACAUGCAAGUCGAACGGUAACAGGAAGAAGCUUGCUUCUUUGCUGACGAGUGGCGGACGGGUGAGUAAUGUCUGGGAAACUGCCUGAUGGAGGGGGAUAACUACUGGAAACGGUAGCUAAUACCGCAUAACGUCGCAAGACCAAAGAGGGGGACCCUCGGGCCUCUUGCCAUCGGAUGUGCCCAGAUGGGAUUAGCUAGUAGGUGGGGUAACGGCUCACCUAGGCGACGAUCCCUAGCUGGUCUGAGAGGAUGACCAGCCACACUGGAACUGAGACACGGUCCAGACUCCUACGGGAGGCAGCAGUGGGGAAUAUUGCACAAUGGGCGCAAGCCUGAUGCAGCCAUGCCGCGUGUAUGAAGAAGGCCUUCGGGUUGUAAAGUACUUUCAGCGGGGAGGAAGGGGGUAAAGUUAAUACCUUUGCUCAUUGACGUUACCCGCAGAAGAAGCACCGGCUAACUCCGUG
rnacentral:rRNA from 1 species